GACGAACGCUGUCGGCGUGCUUAACACAUGCAAGUCGAACGGAAAGGCCCUGCUUUUGUGGGGUGCUCGAGUGGCGAACGGGUGAGUAACACGUGAGUAACCUGCCCUUGACUUUGGGAUAACUUCAGGAAACUGGGGCUAAUACCGGAUAGGAGCUCCUGCUGCAUGGUGGGGGUUGGAAAGUUUCGGCGGUUGGGGAUGGACUCGCGGCUUAUCAGCUUGUUGGUGGGGUAGUGGCUUACCAAGGCUUUGACGGGUAGCCGGCCUGAGAGGGUGACCGGCCACAUUGGGACUGAGAUACGGCCCAGACUCCUACGGGAGGCAGCAGUGGGGAAUAUUGCACAAUGGGCGGAAGCCUGAUGCAGCAACGCCGCGUGCGGGAUGACGGCCUUCGGGUUGUAAACCGCUUUCGCCUGUGACGAAGCGUGAGUGACGGUAAUGGGUAAAGAAGCACCGGCUAACUACGUGCCAGCAGCCGCGGUGAUACGUAGGGUGCGAGCGUUGUCCGGAUUUAUUGGGAGUAAAGGGCUCGUAGGUGGUUGAUCGCGUCGGAAGUGUAAUCUUGGGGCUUAACCCUGAGCGUGCUUUCGAUACGGGUUGACUUGAGGAAGGUAGGGGAGAAUGGAAUUCCUGGUGGAGCGGUGGAAUGCGCAGAUAUCAGGAGGAACACCAGUGGCGAAGGCGGUUCUCUGGGCCUUUCCUGGCGCUGAGGAGCGAAAGCGUGGGGAGCGAACAGGCUUAGAUACCCUGGUAGUCCACGCUGUAAACGGUGGGUACUAGGUGUGGGGUCCAUUCCACGGGUUCCGUGCCGUAGCUAACGCUUUAAGUACCCCGCCUGGGGAGUACGGCCGCAAGGCUAAAACUCAAAGGAAUUGACGGGGCCCCGCACAAGCGGCGGAGCAUGCGGAUUAAUUCGAUGCAACGCGUAGAACCUUACCUGGGUUUGACAUGGAUCGGGAGUGCUCAGAGAUGGGUGUGCCUCUUUUGGGGUCGGUUCACAGGUGGUGCAUGCCUGUCGUCAGCUCGUGUCGUGAGAUGUUGGGUUAAGUCCCGCAACGAGCGCAACCCUUGUUCACUGUUGCCAGCACGUUAUGGUGGGGACUCAGUGGAGACCGCCGGGGUCAACUCGGAGGAAGGUGGGGAUGACGUCAAGUCCUCAUGCCCCUUAUGUCCAGGGCUUCACGCAUGCUACAAUGGCUGGUACAGAGAGUGGCGAGCCUGUGAGGGUGAGCGAAUCUCGGAAAGCCGGUCUCAGUUCGGAUUGGGGUCUGCAACUCGACCUCAUGAAGUCGGAGUCGCUAGUAAUCGCAGGUCAGCAACGCUGCGGUGAAUACGUUCCCGGGGCU
rnacentral:rRNA from 1 species